GAGUUUGAUCCUGGCUCAGAUUGAACGCUGGCGGCAUGCCUUACACAUGCAAGUCGAACGGCAGCACGGGAGCUUGCUCCUGGUGGCGAGUGGCGAACGGGUGAGUAAUGCAUCGGAACGUAUCCUGGAGUGGGGGAUAACGUAGCGAAAGUUACGCUAAUACCGCAUAUUCUGUGAGCAGGAAAGCGGGGGACCUUCGGGCCUCGCGCUCUUGGAGCGGCCGAUGUCGGAUUAGCUAGUUGGUGAGGUAAAGGCUCACCAAGGCGACGAUCCGUAGCAGGUCUGAGAGGAUGAUCUGCCACACUGGAACUGAGACACGGUCCAGACUCCUACGGGAGGCAGCAGUGGGGAAUUUUGGACAAUGGGGGCAACCCUGAUCCAGCCAUGCCGCGUGAGUGAAGAAGGCCUUC
rnacentral:rRNA from 3 species